GGGGGGGGGAACAAAGGGUCCAAAGCGAGUUCUGCGCUGACAGCAGUGAGCCUGAUGAGGGGCUUCAAACCCAUGAACCGUGAGAUCAUGACCUGAGCUGAAGUCGGACGCUCAACCGACCGAGCCGCCCAGGCACCCCAGAACUCUUAAGUUUCUUAAAUGUUCUAUGGAACAUAGAACUGCUGAUGUGGAGGAAGAGCGCGAGGUAUAAGAUCAGAGCUCAGGUUCCGAGUCCUGUUACUUGUCACUUAUGGGUUGCAUGUGACUUCUCCAAGCCUCAGUUUCCCCAUCUGUAAAAUAAGAAGUAAUAUCAACCCCCACAGGAUUGUUGUACGUGGGGAAGGAGAACAGGUCUUUGCUAAGUGCCUUUUAAGCUGUAAAGGUCUGUGCAGAUACCUGAUCAUUAUAACUGCCCUGACCAGGAAAAUACAUACACUGUUUACCUUCCAGGGUAAAGGGACGCCAAAGGCAAAGGAAGUGACUCACCCGGGAUUGGCCAAGCCAGGUGACUAAUUAGAGAUGGGCACAGAGAGGAGAAGGAGCCCCAGUGGCAGUUCCAUGAAGAAUGAAGGCCCAGGGGCCAGGAGAACAGAGCUUCCAGCUGGCUGCAGCGGACGGACGCAGAGAGGGAGUCAGCCUGCAGGUCAAGUCCCCUUCCCUUGUCGCCUAUCACUGCACCUAGCGGGGCCUGUGAAGACAGGGGCGGAGGUGAGGAAAGAGACUCAAAGUUCUGCGUCUUGUCAAGAUCAUCCGUAGUAGAAGCAGCCAGAGUUCCUGUCCAGUGCUGUCUGAUGGUACCAUCUGGGUCCUUUCCACUAGAACACAGCGGGGAGAAGAAAAGGAUACGCGUGGGUUAGUCAAUGGCACACGAAGUAGCAGAUUAUCAACCCGGGACUGCCUGGUUCAGAGCAGGUGCGGAUGGGGGAGGGAUGGCCUGAUGGUCAAGAGGACUUCCUACAGGAGAUAGCCCACGUGUGACUUAGGGCAAAGGUGGGGGAGGACGUGCUACACACAGCUGGUCCCGGGCAGGAAUGAACUUGAGCACAGACAGUGUUGAGACAGUCUGCAGGCCCUGAGGUCGGCGGGGUGGGGCCUGAGAUGGAGGCGUGGGAAGCCUGGCAGAGCUGUCUGGACCAGAUAAGGUGGCAACAAGGAGCUAGCAGGAACAGAAUCCCUGAAAGCAGUGCCUGGAGAGGAUGAUUCUGCAGUGCUGGCUGGAAGGAGUGGAGGUGAGGGCUGGAGAUGGUAGGGGCCGGGCACGUACCACGCGAGGGGUCCACCCAAGGGGAGUCUGGUCUUCUUGGACCCAGGGAAGGGGGUGACAGGGGAAGGAGAGAUGGAAUUUGCAGGCCUUGGUGGAGGGAUGCUUUUGAGGGACAAAGGACAGGGAAGAGCGUAGCCCACUACAGAUUGCUUUGCAACUGCCCUCAGGUCCCAUCGUGCCUCUGUUCACUGUUGUUCAGGGUAUUCCCGUCACUUAAGGCGCCUCCCGGUUUGGCCAGAAUCUACUUCACCCACUACUCUCCUAAGUAAGUCCUCCACUCUCCUACUUCUCCUAGCCCCCAAGGGGCCCACCUCCUGUACCCCACCCCACGCUGGCCUCCACAAAGCCCACCAGCCCGCCAGACGCUCUCAGCUAUCACGGCUGUGGCAAUCACAGUGUUUGAAUCACCUUUGAAAGCUCCUUCCAGCACAGCCUCGACUAAUGCACAUUUCAUUGUUAUUUAACUUUUUGCUCUUGGAGUCUCCCUAGAGGCACCACCUUGUCCUUGAGGGCUGGUUGUUCUUUUUACCGUAGUUGCCCUGCAAUCGCGGAUGUCAUUUUGCCUUUCAGUCUGUGUCCUCACCUGCAAAAUGGUGCCAGUAAUGGGCACAGUGCCUGGCACAGGAGCCCAUCCAUGGCCAUUCCAGUCCUUUCCUCUAGUGUGGGGUGGUCGCAGGGGCCGAGGGAAGGUGGGGGCGCCAGGGCAGAAGGAAAAGGGGACGACUCAAGCCCCUGGGAGGAACCCUUCUUAAUGCCUUUGGAUCUGCAUUUCUAAGGGACCAUUGGCGUCACAUGAAGAUCAUCCAGCAUCACAGAUUUCUUCGGCAAAUAAAGGAAUCUUGAGUUACAAAUUCAGGGCGGACUCCCUGAGGGCAGUGAAUGCCCCCUCCUAGGGCUGAACCUUCGCAGCACGUGCUGCGCAGUCUUGGGCUGUUUCCAAAGUGUGGUUCGCUGACCUCGAUCUCCUUGAAAACCUUUCCCGACCCCGCAGGCUCCCUCUCACCACCUCCACGGGGCAGAAGAGGAGGACACCGGGACUCUGGGAGGCGACGCGCUUUGCCCAAAGUGACUCAACGUGUUGGCGCUCAGGGGCGGCGGGCUGCACCCCCCCCCCCAGGGGUCUGCACUCCCUGGGGCUGGGGGUGCGGAGGGUUGAAAGGCCGGCUCGCUUGGCUCCGGAGCCGGCGGGGGGGA